ensembl:lncRNA
AGGAUGAAUCAAAAAGCUUAGGGGCUUUUUUUUUUUCUGUUCCCAAACAAAGCAGAAAAAGGGACAAAAAUGAAUGUGAAGAGAGGCAAACAAAGAGCUGAGUCCCUGUAAUUCCUUCUGGCCUCCUGCUUCAGGGCUGUGGGGAAUGGCAUGGAGCGAGAGAGAUGUUCUUUAAACAGUACUACAAGAUAGUGAAAAUACCCUGCAGAACCCCUCCAUGGAUAGCAGCCUCACAGUACAACUGCAGCAUCCACAAGUGGGAGGACGUGGAGGGCCCAAGUCAGAGAUCAAGUCAUACUAACACAUAUUUCUUCCCUUUGGAUUGCAAGUCAACCAGCCUGCAACUCUGCCACCUUAAGAUAGCUUCAGAAAACUGCAGGCUCCUGCUGGCCAGACUAGCCCUGACGCCUCCUCCAUCCUCUAUCUCCAACUUCCAUCUCCAUCCUUCACCCUGCGUCCUCCUGACGAUCCCAGAGCACAGAGCAGGAGCACAACCUGCUGAUGACAACUGGUUUUCCUGCAGAACUAUCAGUGGUUUGGAUGAUGAGUUUCCUCCUGAAAGGACCUGGUCCUUUUGGUGCCAGGACCAGGUGACACCGAUGGCUCUGCAGAUUUCUCCACCAUUUUCCUCCUUGUAGAUCCCAGCUGGCUCUGUGGAGGAGGUAUGCAUCAGCCAGAGAGCACAAACUGCCAUGAAGCUGAGCCUCUAUGGACGGCAGUGUCCUCAGAGCUUCAAGCUGUAAUUUAAGAACCAGUCGCAAGAGCUCUGUAGACCUUAAAUAUGAUCCUACAGAGCCAUAAUUAAGCAUCUGACUGAUCAGAAAAUAUUUAAUGCUUGCAACAGGUUUUCCUUCUCAGCCCCAUUAGAUAAAGCGAUACUGGUGGGAAAGUCCAGGGAGGCCGUUACCAGAGUUCAGCAGAAGGGCUAACGAGUCAGCAAACAAUGUUCCUUUUAGGCCCCGGGCUUCGGGAGUCCCAAAUUCCCAACAUUAGAACUAACACAUUUUAAAUUACUUCCCAAGUCCCAGCACUGGACUAUGGUUACGUUUUGGAGAGCAGCCAAGAGGUAGCUUAGGGCUGGUAACGAAUGCGGGCUGUGCUGUCCCACUGGUGCUGCCCUAUGGGCCAGCCACGGCCUAGGGUGCUCCAGGGCCAGCAGUGCCAGUGGGAGAGGGAAGGGAUUGUUGAGAUUGUCCCAGUCUGCUCUGCUUGGUGCAGCCUCGUCUUGAGCACUGGAUGAAGGACAUAAAGAGAGGGCAAGAGAUGUGAGGAGCAGCUGGAACCCCUUCAUUUGUUUGGCUCAGAGAAGAGGAGGCUGAGGGGAGGCCUUGUGGUGCCCAGCAGCUCUUCGUGGCCCUGCAGCUCCUCAUGGUGAC